GAUGAACGUUGGCGGUGUGCCUAAUACAUGCAAGUCGAACGGUGACGAUUUUGUAGUAAUACGAAUGAAAUCAUAGUGGCGAACGGGUGAGUAACGCGUUGGUGAUCUGCCUCGAAGUGUGGAAUAACGCUCCGAAAGGAGCGCUAAUACCGCAUGUGCUCUCAUUGUUUAGAAAUUUGAGAGGAAAGGAUUUAUUCGCUUCGAGAGGAGCCUGCGUCCCAUCAGCUAGUUGGUAGGGUAACGGCCUACCAAGGCAAUGACGGGUAGGGGACCUGAGAGGGUGGCCCCCCACAAUGGAACUGAAACACGGUCCAUACACCUACGGGUGGCAGCAGUAGGGAAUAUUAGAAAUGGACGAAAGUCUGAUCUAGCGACACCGCGUGUGCGAAGAAGGCCUUCGGGUUGUUAAAGCACUUUUGGUAAGGAAUAGGAAGGAAGGUACUUCCAGAAUAAGUACUCGGCUAACUACGUGGCAGCAGCCGCGGUAAAACGUAGACGUG
rnacentral:rRNA from 1 species